rnacentral:tRNA from 1 species
AUUUAAAUAGCUUAUGGAUAGAGUAUAAUAUUGAAGAUAUUAAGGAGAUUAUAAAUAUCUUUAAAUA